ensembl:snoRNA
GCUGUGAUGACUCUUUUGGCGUUGAUCAUCUGGAAGUGAUAGCGCUUUUAUGUCCUCUAAGAAGUUCUGAGCUU